rnacentral:tRNA from 1 species
GCCUGGCUGGCUCAGCCGGUAGAGCAUGGGACUCUUAAUCUCGGGAUUGUGAGUUUGAGCCCCCACGUUGGGUG